UGAUAAUCAUCCUUUCUCCCAGCGAUACUCUACAGACAGCGGGACAACAACGAGCUGCCGUUAUUGGGUGCUAGUGGAGCGCUCCGACUCAUCUCAUCCUCUUCCUCCUCCUCAACCGCCACCAGCCAGUUGUUAUUCCUUUGCCUCCUCCUUUGAUUUUAUCUCCCUUUCUUUCAGAUCUCAACUCUCUCCCCAAUUUUCACCCUAAACUCGCUUUCUCAUUAAAUCUAAUCAAUCUUUUUUAACUUCCCUAAUCUUUCUUUUUACUCAUCACUAAUCAAAUCUCGCCUCCUUCUACAGUCCUCUUCAAAUCGCUAAUAAUUCAGCAAAAUUCGUCCAUUCGCUUUUCAUUUUCUUCACAAUGAAGUUAGGGUUACGAUUUUGCUAAUUUCUCCUUCACUCUGAAUUCGUUCUUCCGCCGUCAGCCUCCUCCGCCUAUCUGAAGACGAGGAGGCCAAUCAUACGGCUUCUUAUAUUUUUCAUUUUUUAGAAAUAUCGUUUCUGGGGGAGGUGUUGAUUUGGUGUUGGUGGAUUAGUUUCUUGCUAUGGCGGAAUUGGUUCCUUUUUACUACAGCUUUGUUGCCUUCUUUUGCACUGCUGGAGCAAUCGCAUUGGCCGUUUUCCACAUCUACAGGCAUCUCUUAAAUUAUACUGAACCUACUUACCAGAG
rnacentral:misc_RNA from 1 species